rnacentral:rRNA from 1 species
UGGGGAAUAUUGGACAAUGGGCGCAAGCCUGAUCCAGCCAUGCCGCGUGAGUGAUGAAGGCCCUAGGGUUGUAAAGCUCUUUCACCGGUGAAGAUAAUGACGGUAACCGGAGAAGAAGCCCCGGCUAACUUCGUGCCAGCAGCCGCGGUAAUACGAAGGGGGCUAGCGUUGUUCGGAUUUACUGGGCGUAAAGCGCACGUAGGCGGACUUUUAAGUCAGGGGUGAAAUCCCGGGGCUCAACCCCGGAACUGCCUUUGAUACUGGAAGUCUUGAGUAUGGUAGAGGUGAGUGGAAUUCCGAGUGUAGAGGUGAAAUACGUAGAUAUUCGGGGGAACACCAGUGGCGAAGGCGGCUCACUGGACCAUUACUGACGCUGAGGUGCGAAAGCGUGGGGAGCAAACAGG